CCUACGGGUGGCAGCAGUGGGGAAUAUUGGGCAAUGGAGGCAACUCUGACCCAGCAACGCCGCGUGAAUGAUGAAGGUCUUCGGAUUGUAAAGCUCUUUUCUAAGGGAAGAAGAAAGUGACGGUACCUUAGGAAUAAGCCUCGGCUAACUACGUGCCAGCAGCCGUGGUAAUACGGAGGAGGCAAUCGUUAUCCGGAAUGACUGGGCGUAAAGGGUGAGUAGGUGGUUUGACAAGUUGGUAGCGUAACUCCGGAGCUCAAAUUGGGAACUACUACCAAAACUGCUGGACUCUAGGGCAGGCGGGGCAACUGGAAUUUCUAGUGUAGCGGUGAAAUGCGUAGAUAUUAGGAAGAACACCGGUGGCGAAGGCGAGUUGCUGGACUGUAACUGACGCUGAGGCACGAAAGCGUGGGGAGCAAACAGGAUUAGAUACCCCAGUAGUC
rnacentral:rRNA from 1 species